AAGUCGUAACAAGGUCUCCGUUGGUGAACCAGCGGAGGGAUCAUUACAGAGUUGMAAAACUCCCUAAACCAUCGUGAACGUUACCCAAACCGUUGCUUCGGCGGGCGGCGCCCCUGCGCGCCCCCGGGCCCCAUCGCGGGCGCCCGCCGGAGGUCACCUAACUCUUGAUACUUUAUGGCCUCUCUGAGUCUUCUGUACUGAAUAAGUCAAAACUUUCAACAACGGAUCUCUUGGUUCUGGCAUCGAUGAAGAACGCAGCGAAAUGCGAUAAGUAAUGUGAAUUGCAGAAUUCAGUGAAUCAUCGAAUCUUUGAACGCACAUUGCGCCCGCCAGUAUUCUGGCGGGCAUGCCUGUUCGAGCGUCAUUUCAACCAUCAAGCCCCCGGCUUGUGUUGGGGACCUGCGGCUGCCCGCAGGCCCUGAAAACCAGUGGCGGGCUCGCUGUCACACCGAGCGUAGUAGCAUACAUCUCGCUCAGGGCGUGCUGCGGGUUCCGGCCGUUAAACGACCUCUAUAACCCAAGGUUGACCUCGGAUCAGGUAGGAAGACCCGCUGAACUUAA
rnacentral:rRNA from 1 species